rnacentral:rRNA from 1 species
GAUGAACGCUGGCGGCGUGCUUAACGCAUGCAAGUCGAACGAGAACGGGUUAUAGCUUGCUAUAAUUGUCAGCUAAGUGGCGCACGGGUGAGUAAUGUAUAGGUAAUAUGCCUCUUACUAAGGGAUAACAAAUGGAAACGUUUGCUAAUACCUUAUACUCCUUAUUAACAUAAGUUAAUAAGGGAAAGAUUUAUUGGUAAGAGAUUAGCCCGUAUUGUAUCAGUUAGUUGGUGGGGUAAUGGCUUACCAAGACUAUGACACAUAACUGGUUUGAGAGGAUGAUCAGUCACACUGGAACUGAGACACGGUCCAGACUCCUACGGGAGGCAGCAGUGGGGAAUAUUGCACAAUGGACGAAAGUCUGAUGCAGCAACGCCGCGUGGAGGAUGACACAUUUCGGUGCGUAAACUCCUUUUAUAUGAGAAGAUAAUGACGGUAUUAUAUGAAUAAGCACCGGCUAACUCCGUGCCAGCAGCCGCAGUAAUAC